rnacentral:tRNA from 1 species
ACUCCCAGAGGAUGACAGCUAUCCGUUGGUCUUAGGAACCAAAAAUUCUUGGUGCAAAUCCAAGUGGGCGUA